ACACAUGCAAGUCGAGGGGCAGCGGGAUUGAAGCUUGCUUCAAUUGUCGGCGACCGGCGCACGGGUGAGUAACGCGUAUCCAACCUUCCGUACACUCAGGGAUAGCCUUUCGAAAGAAAGAUUAAUACCUGAUGGUAUGAUGAGAUUGCAUGAUAGCAUCAUUAAAGAUUCAUCGGUGUACGAUGGGGAUGCGUUCCAUUAGGUAGUAGGCGGGGUAACGGCCCACCUAGCCUACGAUGGAUAGGGGUUCUGAGAGGAAGGUCCCCCACAUUGGAACUGAGACACGGUCCAAACUCCUACGGGAGGCAGCAGUGAGGAAUAUUGGUCAAUGGACGAGAGUCUGAACCAGCCAAGUAGCGUGAAGGAUGAAGGUCCUACGGAUUGUAAACUUCUUUUAUAAGGGAAUAAAACCUCCCACGUGUGGGAGCUUGUAUGUACCUUAUGAAUAAGCAUCGGCUAACUCCGUGCCAGCAGCCGCGGUAAUACGGAGGAUGCGAGCGUUAUCCGGAUUUAUUGGGUUUAAAGGGAGCGCAGACGGGUCGUUAAGUCAGCUGUGAAAGUUUGGGGCUCAACCUUAAAAUUGCAGUUGAUACUGGCGUCCUUGAGUGCGGUUGAGGUGUGCGGAAUUCGUGGUGUAGCGGUGAAAUGCUUAGAUAUCACGAAGAACUCCGAUUGCGAAGGCAGCACACUAAGCCGUAACUGACGUUCAUGCUCGAAAGUGUGGGUAUCAAACAGGAUUAGAUACCCUGGUAGUCCACACGGUAAACGAUGGAUACUCGCUGUUGGCGAUAUACUGUCAGCGGCUUAGCGAAAGCGUUAAGUAUCCCACCUGGGGAGUACGCCGGCAACGGUGAA
rnacentral:rRNA from 1 species